rnacentral:rRNA from 1 species
CCUACGGGUGGCUGCAGUGAGGAAUAUUGGUCAAUGGGCGCUAGCCUGAACCAGCCAAGUAGCGUGAAGGAUGACUGCCCUAUGGGUUGUAAACUUCUUUUAUAUGGGAAUAAAGUGCAGUAUGUAUACUGCUUUGCAUGUACCUUAUGAAUAAGGAUCGGCUAACUCCGUGCCAGCAGCCGCGGUAAUACGGAGGAUCCGAGCGUUAUCCGGAUUUAUUGGGUUUAAAGGGAGCGUAGGCGGGUUGUGAAGUCAGUUGUGAAAGUUUGCGGCUCAACCGUAAAAUUGCAGUUGAUACUGGCAUCCUGGAGUGCAGUAGAGGUAGGCGGAAUUCGUGGUGUAGCGGUGAAAUGCUUAGAUAUCAGGAAGAACUCCGAUUGCGAAGGCAGCCUGCUGGACUGUAACUGACGCUGAGGCACGAAGGCGAGGGGAGCGAAAGGGAUUAGAUACCCUUGUAGUC